CCGAGCGAGGCGCCGCGGGAGGAAUUCCAGCCAUUUCCUCUGCGCCGCGCGCCAGAGUCCCAAGGCCAAGAACAGCCCUUGCAGCAAGAUGUGCGCCCCUCAUUCCUCACAAACGCUGCAGCCACGGACUGCAUAAAUCCAGAUGAGGAAGCCGGUACCCAGCUGGCAGAAGAGAGGUUUGAACUCAGGGAUCUGACUCCACUGGUCAUGACUUGAACUUCUGCUGGGGGAUAAUCAAUUCUGAUGGCCUUUCUGACCAUCAAUGGAAACAACUCCACCGCAGUCUUUAACUGCCUUUAACAGCAAAGAAGACAUUCCUGCAACACUCACCUGCACCUAGCAGAUCUGAGUGCAACCUCAUUAAACUGAGUGGCCUCAGGGGACCAACUCCAAGACCCCAGUGAAUGGAGGCACAAACUGUCCAUAGAAACACGAUUCUAAAUGGACUGGAUAUAAGUCACAAGGUCAGGGUCAGCCCUGGACCAGCCCUUCCUGUGUGAUUUCAGGACCACAUGGAGGCCCAAGUGGCCUUUUUACUAAAAAUCAACCGUUAAAGAAUCAGAUGUGUGUUUAAAUUUAUAUA